AAUGUGUACUAAUCAUAAAUACAAUUUGCUAUUUGAUUAAUAUCAUCACAGAUAUGUUUCUAUAUGUCAGUGUGCAGUGUGUGUUUCAGACAGCAGAGGGCAGUACAUGCCACAAUUUGAUGCUAAUCCAAAGUGGCAGUUGCCACCUAAAAAUAGGCUUUGCCAGUGGAUAAAAGCUCUUUAUUUAUUUUAUUUUAGCCCAGAUAUUUACCAGACGAAAUAAGUGUUGUUUCAGCGUGUUAAACUGUUGCAGUUCAAACUGAUAUUCCGUCACUGGUUUUACUAUGAAACAUUUCGAAGUGCUUUUAAGGGUAGUUCAAGUCUCUGUGAUCUUUCAUUUGAAAACACACAAAGGCUGCUUUAUCUUUCGCCACCCACCGCUUUCAUUCUGUCUUGUGUUGUGUCCUCAAAUCCUCCAUGUCCUUGACUCUCUUUCAGUCUCUCUCUCUCUCUGUCAGGUUGGACUCGUCAGUUCAGUCAGCUGGAUGGAAACACGGCUUAAAUCUGUGCACUGGGAACACAGGGAACCCCAUGGGUUUUAAAAUAUUCCUCACUUUCCUCCGCAAUGCGUUGGCAUUUGAAGUUGCUGCUCUUCCUACAGAAACAACCUGGGCUAAGAGGAUUACAUUUACACAUUUAAAUAACCCCAACAAAUGAGGACUGUGUUCCUCAGUGCGUGAGGACACACAGGAGACUCGGACGUCACGGUCAUGUCCCACUACCCAAAAUACACAACUACUAAAGGGGAGGUUGCACUGUUUAUGGAUAUAAAUAGAGCUGCCCCUGAUUAGGCGCAUUAAACAUGACGAAUUGUUCCCUUCAGGACCUGGUCUGGAGAGGGGCCUGAAAAGUUAAUCUGCAUGAGUUGGAGCUUCACAUGAGGGCAAAACAAGAAUUUGUCACACUGACCAAAAGAAAGCUGCUUGGUUUGAAAUCGACUAUUUUGGUGAGCUGUAGACAAUGGACCUUUAUGCCUUGUGGAAUUUUGUGAAUUUUUGCUAAUGUGCCAUGUUUAUUCUCCUUCCGCUUGUUACAUUUGACUUCAUAUGUCAAAGUUUCUGUGUCCAAAUGCUCUGUCAGAUGCUGAAAGUAAGCAAUAAACUUUAUUAAUAUGCA